ensembl:lncRNA
GCCGGGGACCCUGCUGGCUGAGCUCUGGCCGCCUGGCACCCUGGCCUCGCCAGCCUUCAGCAAGCCCCCCCAGGGAGGAAAGAAGGGAAAUGUGCUCAGCUUGCUGCAUGUCCGUUUCACCUCAGAAAAGCUGUCGGGAGACCUCCUUGUGUCCUUGGGGCGAAGGUACAACCUGCGGCUGGUGAGUGCAGUGCCCUCUCCACUCCCCGUUAUUCAGACCUCAUGUCCUGGAUGAGCCCUCGAGCCAGGACUGUCAUCCGAGGAGGGAGGUCUGUAAAGUCCCACGAGGAUUGUGGGUUUGUGUCUCCUGUGGUUCUGUUAUUUCUUGCUUUUGUUAUUUUGAGG